rnacentral:rRNA from 1 species
UACGUAGGCAGCAAGCGUUGUUCGGAGUUACUGGGCGUAAAGAGUGCGUAGGCGGUCCGCUAAGUUCGGUGUGAAAUCCCCGGGCUUAACCUGGGAAUUGCGCUUGAAACUAGCGGGCUUGAGUGCGGCAGAGGGGGGUGGAAUUCCACGUGUAGCAGUGAAAUGCGUAGAGAUGUGGAGGAACACCGAUGGCGAAGGCAGCCCCCCUGGGUCGACACUGACGCUCAUGCACGAAAGCGUGGGGAGCAAACAGG